AAAAGAAACUAACAAGGAUUCCCCUAGUAACGGCGAGUGAACCGGGAAGAGCUCAAAUUUGUAAUCUGGCCCUAACGGGUCCGAGUUGUAAUCUAUAGAGGCGUUUUCCGCCCCGGACCGUGUCCAAGUCCCUUGGAAUAGGGUAUCAAAGAGGGUGACAAUCCCGUACUUGACACGACGACCGGUGCUAUGUGAUACGUCUUCGACGAGUCGAGUUGUUUGGGAAUGCAGCUCAAAAUGGGUGGUAAAUUCCAUCUAAAGCUAAAUAUUGGCGAGAGACCGAUAGCGAACAAGUACCGUGAGGGAAAGAUGAAAAGCACUUUGGAAAGAGAGUUAAACAGUACGUGAAAUUGUUAAAAGGGAAACGAUUGAAGUCAGUCGUGUCGGUUGGAUUCAGCCCGGUCUCCGGGUGUAUUUCCUUCCGACGGGUCAACAUCAGUUUGGAUCGGCGGAUAAAGAUGGAGGGAACGUGGCUCUCUCGGGAGUGUUAUAGCCCUCUGUUGCAUACGCCGGUCCGGACUGAGGCAUGCAGCUCGCCUUUAUGGCCGGGGUUCGCCCACGU
rnacentral:rRNA from 1 species